AGUUCUCAGCUUAGAUUUCCUGUCCUUGGGAAGCUGUCAUCAUCCUUCUAUCUUUACACCCCAUGAUUUACCCCUUGCAGUGUACUUAUUACACUGUAUUGGAAUCGCUUCUUUUCUCUUUCUCUGUGAAUUUCUUGAGAGCACAGACUACAUUCUGCUUAACUUUUUAUCCCCAGCUUUCAGCACAGUGCCUGGCUGCUUUGGCGUCUCCAAGUACCUGACCUCAGCUCAACCUGUCUUGGGUUUUCUUCUCCUCCCUGACAUUGACAACCCAGCCCUCCUAGGCACAGAGAGAUGGAGCUGAGUGUGGUUUUCCUGAAAUAAAGCUUGCAUUAUGAGAGGGAAUAAACAGUGUCUGAGGCGCAUGGCCCCGGGAGAGGAGGAGAAUGGGACGGUGGUUCAGAUCUGCUGAUGUAGCUGUGGUCAGUCACUGGGGAGAAUAGGCCUGUGGAUUUCUGCUCCUCUGAGAUGGAUCCAUCACUGACUACUGAACUUGUUUUCUCAUUGGCUCAACUUAAGAAGGUUCUAGAGGGAACUGACUUCUUCCUCCUCAUGGUCCACUUGAAAUUCCAGGAAAAGGAACAGAUGUGCAAGGAAUUGCAGCCUGGAGAAACAUAGUGUAUUUGGAGACUUGCAUGUAAAUGGAUAAGUAGGUGUAGGAGGAGAAGCUGGGUCACAUUUUCCUAAAUUUUAUUCCACAAAACACUAGUUCUGUGAGACGCUCUAUGGAAAUUGGUCCCAUGAUCAGUACAUUUGGGGCAUGCUGCAUGUUGUAUUCCCUGUUGUCUUAUAUUGGAUUUCCUAAAAAUAGACUCUGAGGUGGAGACUUAUGUGCAGAAGGUCUCUUGGCGAAUGCUCCAGGGAGGCGUGCGUGUAAGGAAGUGAGACAGACCCACCUCAGGCCCCUGGGACUUCCACUGGCCAGACGCCCUGUGCCUACUUGUGUCAUGGGAUACAGGGCCCAUCUCUUCCCAUCUCCACACUCUGACCACACGCUAGUAGCUUGAAAUCAGCCAUGGUGCAACUAUUGGCAUCACAAAAAUGGACAAAUGCUUCAAACUGGGGCCUGACUUAUUGUUUUGUUGAUUGCCAGGCUUAAAAAGUGAUGGAAAGGAUGCUAAUAAUGCAUAUUAAACCAAAAAAGUGCGUCAUGUCUGUAGCUGUGACAUUGUGAAUAGCACAAGCAUUGAGGUUACAUGCUUCUGAUAUUUGAAAACCCUUAUUGGAUUCAACAAAGAAUUCACUCAUGUCAUUGUCUAUCAGGUGAAGCUCUGAUGCACAUUUUUUGCUUUCACUUUUGCCUUAUUCAUUAAUAUAAACAGAAUGUCAAUCAACCUUCAUGUUGUGUCUACGCUCAAUCAUCCCUGAUGACCCUACGCUGACUACAGAUGCAGAAUUCAGCAAAAACCAAUGAAAGCAUUCGGUGAGAAUCAAUGGCUAUAUGGAGCUUACAAUAAACCGUAUUGUGUAUUUUAUUA
ensembl:lncRNA novel transcript, antisense to C7orf33 and CNTNAP2